UACGGAGGGUGCAAGCGUUAUCCGGAUUUAUUGGGUUUAAAGGGUCCGUAGGCGGACUAAUAAGUCAGUGGUGAAAGCCCAUCGCUUAACGAUGGAACUGCCAUUGAUACUGUUAGUCUUGAGUGAUGUUGAAGUGGCUGGAAUGUGUAGUGUAGCGGUGAAAUGCUUAGAUAUUACGCAGAACACCAAUUGCGAAGGCAGGUCACUAGGUAUCAACUGACGCUGAUGGACGAAAGCGUGGGGAGCGAACAGGAUUAGAUACCCUGGUAGUCCACGCCGUAAACGAUGGAUACUUGCUGUUGGGCUUUCGGGUUCAGUGGCUAAGCGAAAGUUAUAAGUAUCCCACCUGGGGAGUACGUUCGCAAGAAUGAA
rnacentral:rRNA from 1 species